AGUGCUAGUGACUGAACACAGGG
rnacentral:piRNA from 1 species